GGAAGAGGCAGGAGUGGCCCAAGUGUUCUCGCGCCGUGGUAGUUUUUCAAAGUUCUAGCUAGUUAGUCGUGUGUGCAAAGGUUACGAACGGUGUGUUAUCGUGUGUGCUGGUAGCUCAAAGCAGAUUCGUGACCACGCCGACACGACGCCCGACAACCCACACCGAACCAUCGAGGCCAUUCUUGACCCCACCAUCAGCUUGCGAGGUUUUCCCGGGGCACGCCGGAAGAGGGACGCGAUCGCCA